CUAGACCUCAGCCAAAUUCCUAGUUUUGCUGCUGCCUAGCAAAACCAGCACCUAUUUAAUACAAUUUAUUAUAGCGAACCCAAAGGCUCUUUUAAGAGCCAUCCACAUUGCGUCACUGAUUGGACAUCUUAUUCAUCUUUCAGCUUGCCUCUUAAAAACUGCCAGGAAACACCAAAAAACACCGAUUCAACUAAAAAACAAAGCCUACAAAUUCUACCCAAAACAAACGACCCAUUUUUUACCCCACCCAGACCACUCUUUUGCCCUAACCCCAAUACACCGACUACCCCCAAACAGAACGCCCCUUUUAACUUUUUGCUUUGACAGAAAGAGUGAGAGCAGAACUACCUACAGCUCCAGUGUGCCCUGCUGCCUUGAGUGUCUUCACAAAGCAACGUUGAUUAGAGGACUGCGUUGGGAAAUCAACACCAUCAACACACACAAUAAUUUACUAUAGUUUUAAAAUUACAUAAUUUCCUAUAGUCUUUUAGACUGUUUACAAUAGAUAAUACACAUUACAGUACUUUUAAAAGUCAUUAAUAUAUCAGUAAAAAAAUUGUUUUGGCAAGUUCAUCUUUGAAACGUAUUACAUUAUAUCUGAGUCUUUUCACAUUUGCCUAUACUCAUACUUACUAUACUAAUUAAUUGCAUUAGUGAUAUUGCCUAGUGAUAUUGUUAUCAUUUCUGUAAAAUAUUGGGGUAAACAGUGUUUAACAGUUCAACAGUUCCAUUGCUAUAGUCUUGUGUGUUUGUAUAUCUAAUUUGUUGACUGUUUUAACUGUGAAAUUAGUACAGUACUUUAAAAGAUUGUUAAUAUAUAAGUAAAAUAUUCUAAGUUUGACUGUUGUUGUAACUGCUAAUUGAAUAGACUACAUUUAAAGGUCAUUAAACAUUUUUGGUUUGCCAAGUUCCUCUUUGAAUCUUACCACAUUGUAACAUUUACCUUUAUUAGUUGAUUGCAUUACUGAUAUUGCUUUUGGUUAAAAUUUUUGUACAAUAUUGGGGUUGACAGUAUAACAGUUCAAUUGCUGCUUAUAAUAGAUAAUACACAUUACAGUACUUUUAAAGUCAUUAAUAUAUCAGUAAAAAAAAAUAGUUUUUGCAAGUUCAUCUUUGAAACGUAUUACAUUUAUAUCUGAGUCUUUUCACAUUUGCCUAUACUCUACUAAUUAAUUACAUUAGUAAUAUUGCCUUUGGUUAUCAUUUCUGUAAAAUAUUGGGGUUAACAGUUCAACAGUUCCAUUGCUAUAGUCUUGUGUGUUUGUAUAUCUAAGUUCUUGACUGUUUUAACGGUGAAAUUUUAGUACAGUACUUUAAUAUAUCAGUAAAAUAUUCUAAGUUUGACUGUUGUUGUAACUGCUAUUUGAAUAGACUACGUUUAAAGGUCAUUAAAAUAUUUUGGUUUGCCAAGUUCCUCUUUGAAUCUUACCACAUUGUAACAUUUACCUUUAUUAAUUGAUUGCAUUACUGAUAUUGCUUUUGGUUAACAUUUUUGUACAAUAUUGGGGUUGACGGUGUUUGACAGUAUAACAGUUCAAUUGCUAUAGUUUUGUGUGUGUGUAUAUUUAAUUUGUUGACUUGUUACUGAAAUUUCACUCCUGUACUUUAAAAGCUAAUUAAUAUAUCAGUAAUAUAUUUACAGUUUGACUCUUGUUGUAAUUGAUAUUUGAG